AAAGGAGUGCUGCCAACGCCCCGGUGGAGAAGCUGAGGUCAACAUCAGAUUUGAAAUAUUUAAAGUGGAUACAAAACUAUUUCAGCAAUGCAGACAAUUAAGUGUGUUGUUGUGGGCGAUGGUGCUGUUGGUAAAACAUGUCUCCUGAUAUCCUACACAACAAACAAAUUUCCAUCGGAAUAUGUACCAACUGUUUUUGACAACUAUGCAGUCACAGUUAUGAUUGGUGGAGAACCAUAUACUCUUGGACUUUUUGAUACUGCAGGGCAAGAGGAUUAUGACAGAUUACGACCGCUGAGUUAUCCACAAACAGAUGUAUUUCUAGUCUGUUUUUCAGUGGUCUCUCCAUCUUCAUUUGAAAAUGUGAAAGAAAAGUGGGUGCCUGACAUAACUCACCACUGUCCAAAGACUCCUUUCUUGCUUGUUGGGACUCAAAUUGAUCUCAGAGAUGACCCCUCCACUAUUGAGAAACUUGCCAAGAACAAACAGAAGCCUGUCACUCCAGAGACUGCUGAAAAGCUGGCCCGUGACCUGAAGGCUGUCAAGUAUGUGGCGUGUGCUGCACUCACACAGAAAGGCCUCAAGAAUGUAUUUGACGAAGCAAUAUUGGCUGCCCUGGAGCCUCCAGAACCGAAGAAGGGCCGCAGGUGUGUGCUGCUACGAACAUCUCUCCAGAGCCCUUUCUGCACAGCUGGUGUCGGCAUCAUACUAAAAGCAAUGUUUAAAUCAAACUAAAGAUUAAAAAUUAAAAUUCGUUUUUGCAAUAAUGACAAAUGCCCUGCACCUACCCACAUGCACUCGUGUGAGACAAGGCCCAUAGGUAUGGCCCCCCCUUUCCCCUCCCAGUACUAGUUAAUUUUGAGUAAUUGUGUAUUGUCAGAAAAGUGAUUAGUACUAGUUUUUGUUUUGUUGUUUGAAAAAAAAAAAAAAAAGUAGUGGUUUUUUUUUUUUUUUUUUUUUUUUGGUUUAAAAGCAAGGCAUGCUUGUGGAUGACUGUAACAGACUAAUUGGAAUUGUUGAAGCUGCUCCCUGGUUCCACUCUGGAGACAUCUGGGACAUCUUAGUGUUUUUUUUUUUUUUUUUUUUUUCCCUCCUCUUUUUUGGGGGGCAGUGUGUGUGGGGUUUGUUUUUUAGUCUUGUUUUUUUAAUUCAUUAACCAGUGGAUAGCCCUUAAGGGGAGGAUGACGGAUUGAUUCCACAUUCCACUUCCUAGAUCGAGUUUAGAAAACAUGUUCCCCAUCUGGUGCUCUUAGGAAGGAGUAUAGUAAAUGCCUCAUUUAAUAACAUACUCCUUUUUGAAAGUUGCCUUUUCUCUCCACCCUUGAGUAGAUCCAGUAUUUGAUGAAACUCAUGAAAGUGGGUGGAGCCUGUCUUGCCCCUCCUCUUUUCUAGGACGCACUAUAUGUGACUGUGACUUUCAAGGACAUUUGUUUGCCAUUCACUGUUUUUUUUGGGAAGUUGAUUUCUAACUUCUUUCACUGAUAAAUGAAGAAAAGUAUUGCACCUUUGAAA